ensembl:lncRNA
UGCAGUGCGCCCCCUGCUGUGAGUGAGAAAGUGAAACCAGUCAGAACUCUGGCCGAACUACCCAAAGCUACCAAACCGAACGACACCCCAACAGAACUGACCCCAGAUGAAAGUACCAUGUGGGGGGCCCAUUUCCACGCUCAGAACUCCCUGGCUGCGUGUCCCAACAGCACUUCGGACUUUGCCAUGCUAGCCCGCUUUGUGUCUACGCCGUUCACCCACAAGACCCCCGUGAGCACCACAAACUUCUAUUUCCCCGACCAAGAAGUUGGUGUAGCGCCUUCCAAAAUGCUCAGCCCCUUCACCAAGAAACUGAGCCCCAUCAUGGAGCAGAGCCCAUCAGAGGAGAAGCUCAACGACACAGCAGUGACCCAGCAGUCCCUGGGCGCUCGUCAAGGCACCAUCGUGGGGGAGGGCGUGGCUAUGAACACCCAGCUCCUGGCCAACUCCUGCACCACCAUGGUCCAGCCUGCUCCUCCUGCUGUGCUGUCCUUCAGAGACCAGACCAUUUGCCCCAGCAACACCUCUGUGCACAGGAGCACUGGACCAGGAUGGGAAGUCUACACCAGCCCUAAGCCCAAACCUGAACACGAGCCCUUCACC